rnacentral:misc_RNA from 1 species
GAUGAAGAACGCAGCGAAAUGCGAUAAGUAGUGUGAAUUGCAGAAUUCAGUGAAUCAUCGAAUCUUUGAACGCACAUUGCGCCCCUUGGUAUUCCAUGGGGCAUGCCUGUUCGAGCGUCAUUUGUACCUUCAAGCUUUGCUUGGUGUUGGGUGUUUGUCUCGCCUUUGCGUGAAGACUCGCCUUAAAAUAAUUGGCAGCCGGCGUAUUGAUUUCGGAGCGCAGUACAUCUCGCGCUUUGCACUCAUAACGACAGCGUCCAAAAGUACAUUUUACACUCUUGACCUCGGAUCAGGUAGGGAUACCCGCUGAACUUAAGCAUAUCAAUAAGCGGAGGA